UACGAAGGGGGAGCUAGCGUUGCUCGGAAUGACUGGGCGUAAAGGGCGCGUAGGCGGAGUGCUUUGUCGGGCGUGAAAUUCCAGGGCUCAACCUUGGGGCUGCGUUCGAGACGGGUGCUCUUGAGUUUGGAAGAGGGUCGUGGAAUUCCCAGUGUAGAGGUGAAAUUCGUAGAUAUUGGGAAGAACACCGGUGGCGAAGGCGGCGACCUGGUCCAAGACUGACGCUGAGGCGCGAAAGCGUGGGGAGCAAACAGG
rnacentral:rRNA from 1 species